UCAAUCACUUGGUACCACCAGGAACCUUUAAAUGGGCACUCAAGCUGCCUGGAGACUGAUUUGUCGUGCACAUCAGAGAAACCACAGUCAGGCAGAAACAUCUCACAGCAGCUGGAAAAACCAGUGAGCACACUUUAGAGGAAAAAAGUGAAAGUUUAUGUUCAACUGUAAAAUAUUCUCUGUAAUGUAAAUUGUUCUGCUCUCUGACAAACCAUCAGAGGUGCAGCACGUGUAUCAUUUGGUGUUUGAAGCAGAAACAAAAGCAAAGAGUUAAAGGAAGACACAUUUGAAGAAGAAGGAAAAUGAAAACAAGACGUCACUGAGCAACAACCUGACAGAACGAGAGCCAACAGUUUACUAUCAGAACUGAGGCUGAUCAUUAACAGGGAGCAGCAGGUAA